rnacentral:lncRNA from 1 species
GGAUGUGAGGGCUAUCUGGUUGCAACAUCUGUCACCCCACUGAUCGCCAGGGUUGAUUCAGCUGAUCUGGCUGGUUAGGCGGGAGUCCCCUUCCCCCUUCACUGCUCCAUGUGCGUCCCUCCCGAAGAUGCGCGCUCGGUUGAAGAGGACGACCAUCCCCGAUAGAGAACCGGUCCUCGAUCAAGGGUAUACGAGUAGCCGUGCUCCCCUGCUAGAAACUCCAAACAAACUCUCAAAAUUCACU